UAUGAACCAAUUCUUUUAUCUCCCGAUGUGGGAACAAAUACUCGUAAUAUUGCUUCUUGUUUCUCACACCGCCCUCAUAAGAUCAGAAGAAGGGAGAAAAAACUAUGACUUUGCUGCUGGUUCUUCUUGGUGAGAUGAUAACAAGUCAACUAGAUUGUUGUUGCAUUUACUAAUAAACUCAAAGUGGGAUUGUUUGAUGACGAUUCUUAUCGACUAUCGAUUCGCCCAAAAUGAUGAAACUUCGGGGAAAGCCUGAAGUGAUUCAAAGUGAAGCUUAAGGUUUUGUGCAUCAUUAGAUUUUAGGAGGUUUGGCUCAAAAUAACAAUGCAUAUGUCCUCUAGGGUAGUUCAUUCUAUAGAAUCCAAUGGUUCAGAAUCUAAGUUGUUUAAAUUACUUUCUUACUCUCAAAUCCUAAAUGAAAUGGGGAAGGGAUUUGAAUGCCGAAUGUAGUAGAUAUGCACCCUGAAACAGGUG